CAAUAGCGUAUAUUUAAGUUGUUGCAGUUAAAAAGCUCGUAGUUGGAUUUUGGGUCGGGGGCACCGGUCCGCCGUUCCGGUGUGCACUGGUGGCCCCUUCCUUUCUGCCGGGGACGUGCGUCGCACUUAAUUGGGUGGCGUUCGGAGUCGGCGUUGUUACUUUGAAAAAAUUAGAGUGUUCAAAGCAAGCCAUCGCUCUGAAUACAUUAGCAUGGAAUAACAUGAUAGGACUCCGGUCUUAUUUUGUUGGUUUCCGAGACUGGAGUAAUGAUUAAGAGGGACAGUCGGGGGCAUCUGUAUUUCAUUGUCAGAGGUGAAAUUCUUGGAUUUAUGAAAGACGAACUUCUGCGAAAGCAUUUGCCAAGGAUGUUUUCAUUAA
rnacentral:rRNA from 1 species